rnacentral:rRNA from 1 species
AUUGAACGCUGGCGGCAUGCCUUACACAUGCAAGUCGAACGGCAGCAUGGAGGAGCUUGCUCCUCUGAUGGCGAGUGGCGAACGGGUGAGUAAAGCAUCGGAACGUACCGUGUAGUGGGGGGAUAACGUAGCGAAAGUUACGCUAAUACCGCAUACGCACUGAGGUGGAAAGCAGGGGAUCGCAAGACCUUGCGCUAUACGAGCGGCCGAUGUCAGAUUAGCUAGUUGGUAGGGUAAAGGCCUACCAAGGCGACGAUCUGUAGCGGGUCUGAGAGGAUGAUCCGCACACUGGGACUGAGACACGGCCCAGACUCCUACGGGAGGCAGCAGUGGGGAAUUUUGGACAAUGGGGGAAACCCUGAUCCAGCCAUGCCGCGUGAGUGAAGAAGGCCUC